rnacentral:rRNA from 1 species
UACGGGGGGGCCAGCGUUGUUCGGAAUUACUGGGCGUAAAGGGCUCGUAGGUGGCCAACUAAGUCAGACGUGAAAUCCCCAGGCUCAACUUGGGAACUGCGUCUGAUACUGGAUGGCUCGAGUGUGGGAGAGGGAUGCGGAAUUCCAGGUGUAGCGGUGAAAUGCGUAGAUAUCUGGAGGAACACCGGUGGCGAAGGCGGCAUCCUGGACCGAUACUGACGCUGAGGAGCGAAAGCCAGGGGAGCAAACGGG